rnacentral:rRNA from 1 species
GAUGAACGCUAGCGACAGGCUUAACACAUGCAAGUCGAGGGGCAGCAUAAAAGUAGCAAUACUUUGGUGGCGACCGGCGCACGGGUGAGUAACGCGUAUGCAACCUACCUAUCAGAGGGGGAUAACCCGGCGAAAGUCGGACUAAUACCGCAUAAAACAGGGGCACCGCAUGGUGAUAUUUGUUAAAAAUUUAUUGCUGAUAGAUGGGCAUGCGUUCCAUUAGGUAGUUGGAGAGGUAACGGCUCACCAAGCCUACGAUGGAUAGGGGAACUGAGAGGUUGGUCCCCCACACUGGUACUGAGACACGGACCAGACUCCUACGGGAGGCAGCAGUGAGGAAUAUUGGUCAAUGGGCGAGAGCCUGAACCAGCCAAGUCGCGUGAAGGAAGAAAGGAUUCUAAUGGUUUCGUAAAACUUCUUUUUGCAGGGGGAAAUAAAAGUGCAGGACGUGUCCUGUUUGUAUGUACCCUGAGAAAUAAGGAUCGGCUAACUCCGUGCCAGCAGCCGUCGGUAAA